GUAACACCCACAAGAGUAAAGCGUUGAAAACGACGAUAAACGUUAAAGAAGCAAAUAAACAAAAAAGAAGAAUUCAAAAUUGGCGAAGAUGCGGUUUUUGCUUUGCAAAGCAAUACCCCCAACUCCUACAACAGUUAAUUGGACGGUAGCUGCGAGUCAUCAUGUCUGAAGGCUUAGUAAAAGGAUUAGUAAAAAGGUUCACGGCGUUCACGUGUUUAUGGAAUAUACAGGAUACAGAAUUUGCAACAGUAUUACGCUAUGUCAUUAUUUUUAGUGUCAACCGGAAUUAAAGUGCCUAUAAAUACGGCAGUCAUUAAAAUUAUGCACUUAUCCUGCAACUAUUUAUUUCUGAAGUAAGAAGUGCAUCGACGAUAAUUACAAGAUGAAAACAAUGUCAUCAGUAUCGACAGUCACCGUCAUAUGUGUUUGCUUAUUGGGAUUGUGUUUAUGCCAUCCGUUCUCCGACAACACGCAAAGUCAGUGUUUAUGUAGAGUGAAGAACAAUCACUGUGUGCUACAACACGAGGCAGUAACAGAGGAACACUCAACAUGCUGUUGUAGAGCAUCUUUUGAAGUAGAGAAGUACAAUCAUCGCAGGUACUACAGCCGUUUAGAGGGAUGUCAAGUGGUAGCGUGUUAAGCCCUUUUAUAGAGCAGCUUACAUGGAAAUUACAGGAGCAAUGUCUCAUUUGGAUAGUUCAAAAUAUUUUCAAGUUAAAGAAAUUACAGAUAAACAUUGAAAGGAAAGCUAAAAUAAAUUUAUGAAACUAAA
rnacentral:lncRNA from 1 species